rnacentral:lncRNA from 1 species
UUGUAUUUUGAAUGAGAAUUGUUUCCGGGGAGGACAUUACAAGAAAUUAUAUUUCGUAAAUUUUAAAGGGGGAGUUGCUUAUCUAUCCUUGAAAAUUUUUCGACUUUCUAAUUUAUAACUCUUAGAAAGCUAAUAUUAAAAAUAUUCUUUUAUUGUUCUAAGUUAUUUCAAAUAUAUCUCUAGAGUUAAAUUUUGUUAAUUUAUUGUUAGCAACAACCGUUAUCUCUGUAAAAUUACUAUUUUACCCUUUCAAAUAUAUCUUUCUAUCGUCACCUACUUUUCUUAUUUGUCUUUAAUAUAGGAACAAAAGAAGUAUUUUAAUUUUUUUUAUCUUUUCAAACAUACCUUUCUACCAGCACCAAAUUUUUUAUUUAUUCUUAAGUUAAAAAUAAAAGAGGUAAUUUUAUUUUUUUUUUAACUCAGGUAAAAUUUUGAGCCGGUUUUAACAUGAGAUAACUUAUCAGGUACUAACAACGGAAGUAUUUUUUGAAUAACGGGGAGCUAUAUUAGAGGUAUAUUUGAAACAAAAAAGAAAACAGGGAUAAAUUAGAUUUGUCAUAAGUUUUUCAGAGG